rnacentral:rRNA from 16 species
CGGGAGGCAGCAGUGGGGAAUUUUGGACAAUGGGCGCAAGCCUGAUCCAGCCAUGCCGCGUGCGGGAAGAAGGCCUUCGGGUUGUAAACCGCUUUUGUCAGGGAAGAAAAGGUUCUGGCUAAUACCUGGGACUCAUGACGGUACCUGAAGAAUAAGCACCGGCUAACUACGUGCCAGCAGCCGCGGUAAUACGUAGGGUGCAAGCGUUAAUCGGAAUU